AGAGUUUUCAUCUCAUGGAAAAUUCAGAAUCAAAAUCAAAAACAGCUGAGGUAGUUACUCGGGUGCCUUCCUUCAGUUUAUUCAGAAGAAUAUAGGAUGAACGGUAUUCAAUAUGUCCUUCUCUGUCGAGUUUUUCCCAUCCCGAAGCCACCAGAGAGUCUGACACAGACUGCCUUCCCAAUUUAUGAACCAAAGAUGUGGAAUCCACGAGCACAGGAAGCAUUUCAACACGCUCAGCCUUCCCCUAGGUGGAAAAGUGAAUACUGAAGAGGCUGAAGAUUCUGAGAAGCUGGGAUAGGGCAGGAUAGCCCUUAGAUCCGUGUGAAGGAAACUGCCACCUCCCUUGAAACUAAAAGGAAAAACAAAGGAUGAUUGCCAAGAUAGAUUUGAAGGUUAUGUGGCAGAAGUUGAUGAGGUUACUAUCUUGUGUUUUAUGUUUUCAUGGCCAUUUGGAGGAGGAGUGAGACUAGGUGGAUGAAUCAGCCUUCGGCUCCCAUCACUACAGAACUAUUCUUGUCAAGGUCACCAUGACCUCCAGUGUUGCUGAUGGUCCUCAUCUUAUCAGCAGCAUUGGAUGCAAUUGAUUGUUCCUGUUCCUUAAAACACUUUCUUCUGUAGCUUUAUCAGAUAUAUUUCGUACAUUACUUCAAAUAAUCUGGGCCCCACUUCUUACUCCAGCCACUGCUCUGGGGGAACUGUUAGAUAUAGGGUUCAGCUAGCUUUAUCCAUGUACAAGCUAACCAUGUCUUCCUUCUCUUGCUUCCUGUCCUGGGGUUUCCAGGCCACCCCCUUCCUUAGCUACCUAGUGCUGGUGCAAUGGGUCAAUGAAAAUGGGAGGUCAGGAGAGGAAGAGGAGAGGAUGUGAUGGCAGAGAUGGAUCUUCAACAGGGGAAGAAUAACAGAGACUUCCUCUCACCUAGGCUUAUCUAGCUACUGCCAUUUAAAGUUGAUAUUAUUCAUCUCUUUCCAAUAGAAUAGAAGCUCCAUGAGGGUAGGGAUUUUUUAUGUCUUGUUCAUCGCCCACCAUCUAGAACUGUACCUUGCACAUAGUAUACUUUCAAUAAAUAUUUGUUGAAUGAAUAAAUGAUAGAAUUAAUAAUGUGAUUUGUUUAUGCAGCCAUGAAUAUCAUCAAAAGAGCAGUCUGGGUGGAAGAAACAGCUUAUUAAGCAAAGGGUGGAAGACAAGCAUUUUCAGGUUAUGUGUCAAGGGCAAGGAUUAGUUGUCCCAUGUUGAAUAAUUUGCUUACAAAACUACUUUUUAUACAGAACUUUUGAUACACUUCAUUGUAUAACAGUUCACUGUCCGAACGUUUUCAAACAAAAGCGAGUAGAAUAAAACCUGGAGAAAUUAUAUGUGGCACAUACCAAAACUGUUGUCCAACGACCAAUAACAAAGAUGGCAAGGCUUCUAAAACAACUUUUUCCACUUUCUGACUGAAAAGAUAAUGUAGGAUGAAUAAAUCAGACAAAGUAGCCUACUACUUAGAGAAGUGAAUCUUUUACCUAUAGCAUCCAGAUUAACUAACAUUUCCCUAAACAACCAAACUUUUCCUCUCUCAUAUUGCCUGUGCUAACAAUUUCUUACGAUACUAAUUAUUGGACUUUAAUAAGGAUAAUAUAAAUGUUUUUUUUAAGGCAGUUGUUUUUAAAAUAAAAGAGAAAAUCCAAGCUUCUCUAACUUCUAAGCUAUUUUCCAGAAGCCCCUAGUUGUGUUUAUUUUUGCUCAGGGACUAUCUCAGCUUCGGUGUGGUUCAGAAGUACAAAGUCAGCUUACAUGCCCCGCAGAGCUACAUUUAUGUAAAAAAUGGAACAUAUUGCCUCCAGCUCCCUCACUGGAUAUGAGGAAGACUCUAUGCACUGCUAGGCUAGGUGGUGCUCCUUGAGUUAGAGAACUUAUUGGUCGUCUUGGAGGAGGACAUGACUGCCUACUUGCAUGGCGAUGCCUCUGAUGAAGGCAGUGCUUCCAAAUUGCCCUCCCUCUUCCCUCCUCCCUCCCUCUACAUGAUGCUUCCCUAUCUAACUAGUAAUAGAUCAAUUAAUUCUUGAAGGUGCCUGGGGAUAUUGACCAUGCCUCUCAAGGAGGGAAGUACAUAUGGGUGUUGACUAGAGUUCAUUAAUCCUAGGGCUAAUCUGGUACCUUCCAAUGGACACAUUGGAGUGGAAGCUCCUGAGGCCUUCAGCAGCCUAGUUGAGUUAGAGG